rnacentral:rRNA from 1 species
GCUACGGGUGGCAGCAGUGAGGAAUAUUGGUCAAUGGGCGCGAGCCUGAACCAGCCAAGUAGCGUGAAGGAUGACUGCCCUACGGGUUGUAAACUUCUUUUAUAAAGGAAUAAAGAGAGUCACGUGUGCCUCUUUGUAAGUACUUGAGUAAUAAGGAUCGGCUAACUCCGUGCCAGCAGACGCGGUAAUACGGGGGAUGGGAGCGUGAUCCGGAUUUAUUGGGGUUAAAGGGAGCGGAGAGGGGCUGUGAAAUCAGUUGGUAAAAUUUGCGGCUCAACCGUAAAACUGCCAUUGAAACUGGCAGUCUUGAGUGCGGUUGAGGUAGGCGGAAUUCGUGGUGUAGCGGUGAAAUGCUUAGAUAUCACGAAGAACUCCGAUUGCGAAGGCAGCUUACUAAACUGCAACUGACAUUGAUGCACGAAAGUGUGGGUAUCGAACAGGAUUAGAUACCCCAGUAGUC